UAGGGAAUCUUCCACAAUGGACGCAAGUCUGAUGGAGCAACGCCGCGUGAGUGAAGAAGGUUUUCGGACCGUAAAGCUCUGUUGUUGGUGAAGAAGGAUAGAGGUAGUAACUGGCCUUUAUUUGACGGUAAUCAACCAGAAAGUCACGGCUAACUACGUGCCAGCAGCCGCGGUAAUACGUAGGUGGCAAGCGUUGUCCGGAUUUAUUGGGCGUAAAGCGAGCGCAGGCGGAAGAAUAAGUCUGAUGUGAAAGCCCUCGGCUUAACCGAGGAAUUGCAUCGGAAACUGUUUUCUUGAGUGCAGAAGAGGAGAGUAGAACUCCAUGUGUAGCGGUGGAAUGCGUAGAUAUAUGGAAGAAUACCAGUGGCGAAGGCGGCUCUCUGGUCUGCAACUGACGCUGAGGCUCGAAAGCAUGGGUAGCGAACAGGAUUAGAUACCCUGGUAGUCCAUGCCGUAAAACGAUGAGUGCUAAGUGUUGGGAGGCUUCCGCCUCUCAGUGCUGCAGCUAACGCAUUAAGCACUCCGCCUGGGGGAGUACGACCGCAAGGUUGAA
rnacentral:rRNA from 1 species